UACGUAGGUGGCAAGCGUUGUCCGGAUUUACUGGGCGUAAAGCGAACGCAGGCGGACCUUUAAGUAGGAAGUGAAAGGUUGGAGCUCAACUCUAACACUGCUCCCUAUACUGGAGGUCUUGAGUGCCGGAGAGGAAGACGGAACAAGUUGUGUAGCGGUGAAAUGCGUUGAUAUAACUUGGAACACCAAUGGCGAAAGCAGUCUUCUGGACGGAUACUGACGCUCAGGUUCGAAAGCCAAGGUAGCAAACAGG
rnacentral:rRNA from 1 species